rnacentral:rRNA from 1 species
CCUACGGGGGGCAGCAGUGAGGAAUAUUGGUCAAUGGACGAGAGUCUGAACCAGCCAAGUAGCGUGAAGGAUGACUGCCCUAUGGGUUGUAAACUUCUUUUAUAUGGGAAUAAAAUGUUCCACGUGUGGGAUUUUGUAUGUACCAUAUGAAUAAGGAUCGGCUAACUCCGUGCCAGCAGCCGCGGUAAUACGGAGGAUCCGAGCGUUAUCCGGAUUUAUUGGGUUUAAAGGGAGCGUAGGUGGAUUGUUAAGUCAGUUGUGAAAGUUUGCGGCUCAACCGUAAAAUUGCAGUUGAAACUGGCAGUCUUGAGUACAGUAGAGGUGGGCGGAAUUCGUGGUGUAGCGGUGAAAUGCUUAGAUAUCACGGAGAACUCCGAUUGCGAAGGCAGUUCACUGGACUGCAACUGACACUGAGGCUCGAAAGUGUGGGUAUCAAACAGGAUUAGAUACCCCAGUAGUC